rnacentral:rRNA from 1 species
UACGUAGGCAGCGAGCGUUGUUCGGAGUUACUGGGCGUAAAGAGUGCGUAGGCGGUUUUCUAAGUUUGGUGUGAAAUCUCCCGGCUUAACUGGGAGGUGCGCCGAAAACUGGAAGGCUUGAGUAUGGGAGAAGGUAAGCGGAAUUCCUGGUGUAGCGGUGAAAUGUGUAGAUAUCUGGAGGAACACCGGUGGCGAAGGCGGCAUCCUGGACCAACACUGACACUGAGGAGCGAAAGCCAGGGGAGCAAACGGG